UGCAGUCGAGCGGAUGAAGGGAGCUUGCUCCUGGAUUCAGCGGCGGACGGGUGAGUAAUGCCUAGGAAUCUGCCUGGUAGUGGGGGAUAACGUCCGGAAACGGGCGCUAAUACCGCAUACGUCCUGAGGGAGAAAGUGGGGGAUCUUCGGACCUCACGCUAUCAGAUGAGCCUAGGUCGGAUUAGCUAGUUGGUGGGGUAAAGGCCUACCAAGGCGACGAUCCGUAACUGGUCUGAGAGGAUGAUCAGUCACACUGGAACUGAGACACGGUCCAGACUCCUACGGGAGGCAGCAGUGGGGAAUAUUGGACAAUGGGCGAAAGCCUGAUCCAGCCAUGCCGCGUGUGUGAAGAAGGUCUUCGGAUUGUAAAGCACUUUAAGUUGGGAGGAAGGGCAGUAAGUUAAUACCUUGCUGUUUUGACGUUACCAACAGAAUAAGCACCGGCUAACUUCGUGCCAGCAGCCGCGGUAAUACGAAGGGUGCAAGCGUUAAUCGGAAUUACUGGGCGUAAAGCGCGCGUAGGUGGUUCAGCAAGUUGGAUGUGAAAUCCCCGGGCUCAACCUGGGAACUGCAUCCAAAACUACUGAGCUAGAGUACGGUAGAGGGUGGUGGAAUUUCCUGUGUAGCGGUGAAAUGCGUAUAUAUAGGAAGGAACACCAGUGGCGAAGGCGACCACCUGGACUGAUACUGACACUGAGGUGCGAAAGCGUG
rnacentral:rRNA from 1 species